AUGGCCUGCUGCUUCCUCCGCGCCGCCGCGGCGCCCCGCCUCCUCUACCGCACCGCCGCCUCCAGGCAUCUCCCGUCGCCACUCACCGUACUCAGAAAGGGUUUUUCAGAGCAGUCAGUUCUGCCAAUCACAGACUCAGUUGGGAGUUUUCAAGGACCGUCAGUGCAGAACACUCCACGCAUUCCACUGUAUGAUGACAACUUAUCCUCAGGCAUAUUGGACACAUUGUCGAACCCGACAGAGGGUGUCCCUCUUGCCGAUCCUUCAAAUGGCAGAAUAAUGCUAGUUGAUGGAACGUCAGUGAUGUACAGAUCCUACUACAAGAUAUUAGCACAGCUGCAGCAUGGCCAGUUGGAGCAUGCUGAUGGAAAUGGGGAUUGGGUUUUAACUAUAUUCAAAGCUCUAUCCCUGCUUCUUGACAUGCUGGAGUUCAUUCCAUCUCAUGCUGCGGUCGUGUUUGACCAUGAUGGAGUUCCAUAUGGUCAUUAUACUGCCAUGCCAUCCAAAGAAUGUCACAUGGCAAAAGGAAUGACCUUUCGCCAUAUGUUGUACCCUGCUUACAAGAGUAACCGCACCCCAACACCGGACACCGUUGUCCAGGGCAUGCAAUACUUGAAGGCAUCCAUUAAGGCGAUGUCAAUCAAAGUAAUUGAGGUUCCAGGUGUUGAAGCUGAUGAUGUUAUUGGUACCCUGGCUGUAAACAGUGUGUCGGCUGGUUACAAGGUACGGAUUGUCUCUCCUGAUAAAGACUUCUUCCAAAUUUUGUCACCUUCUUUGCGUUUGCUCAGGGUUGCUCCACGUGGUUCAGGGAUGGUUUCAUUUGGAGUUGAAGAUUUCGUUAAAAGAUAUGGAGCACUGAAACCCUCGCAGUUUGUUGAUGUUGUCGCACUUUCAGGAGACAAAGCUGACAAUAUACCUGGAGUUGAGGGGAUUGGAGAUGUUAAUGCUGUGAAGCUGAUAACUAAGUUUGGUUCCUUAGAGAAUCUACUGAAAUCUGUGGAUGAAGUUGAGGAUGAACGAAUUAAACAGGUUCUGAUAUCUCAAGCGGAACAGGCAAUCCUUUGCAAAAGCCUGGCCACACUGCGUUCUGAUCUUCCUUCUUAUAUGGUUCCUUUCAAGACAGCUGACCUUGUAUUUCAGAAGCCGCAGGAUGAUGGGACCAAAUUCAUAAAGCUUUUACGAGCUUUGGAAGCAUACGCAGAAGGUUCCUCAGCAGACCCAAUCAUCAGAAGAGCAACCUAUAUUUGGAACAAGCUUAAAUCGUGAUGACGCUGAUGUUUCCAGCAGUGAUUAUAAAGGAAUUUUUGCCAAGGUUAAGGUUCGGAUUAGAAGAUCGGAAGCCCAGCCGGCGCCAUUCUGGUUCCAAAAUAUUCGAUGCCUUCGACUUCAUGCGGACUCUGCGCUGAGCCAUAUCCAGAUUGCAAAAAAUCAAAUUGUUGGCAUAGGAGUGCCGAAGUGCAUAAAUCCAAGGGUUGCCGUGCAGAUGGAGCCGUCGAGGCAAAGGCAAGGCAACAGAUCGGCCCAACGUUUCGGGGGUGUGUCUAUUCAUCCCUUUCAGCGAUUUUCGCCACCCCCGUCGCAGAAGGCCGCGGGUGCUGUUCCCCCCCUCCCACGCCUCCCCCGGCUGGCGCCUCCACUGCUGCUAACCACUCUCGCCGCUGCAUUGCCUGUCCACCACCGUUGCCUUCUUGCUCCCGCCGCCAGCCACCGCCCACUGGAUGUCCGGCCUGGCUGGCCAAGCGCCAUCUUGCCUCCGCCGCCGGCCCAACUGCCACCACCGCCGGGUCGCCGCCAACCUCUUCCUCUAGGGCUGAUGGAUAUUGGAGCUCCAGGACCUCAAAUUCUAAGCUCCGUCGGCUCGACUAUCACCCUAGCCGCCGGCGACCUCGCCGGUGGCCGCUCCUCUCACCUCCCACCCCUCGUCGGCGGCCGCUCCACCCCCUCC